rnacentral:rRNA from 1 species
AGUGAACGCUGGCGGUAGGCCUAACACAUGCAAGUCGAACGGCAGCACAGUAAGAGCUUGCUCUUACGGGUGGCGAGUGGCGGACGGGUGAGGAAUACAUCGGAAUCUACUUUUUCGUGGGGGAUAACGUAGGGAAACUUACGCUAAUACCGCAUACGACCUACGGGUGAAAGCAGGGGAUCUUCGGACCUUGCGCGAUUGAAUGAGCCGAUGUCGGAUUAGCUGGUUGGCGGGGUAAAGGCCCACCAAGGCGACGAUCCGUAGCUGGUCUGAGAGGAGGAUCAGCCACCCUGGAACUGAGACACGGUCCAGACUCCUACGGGAGGCAGCAGUGGGGAAUAUUGGACAAUGGGCGCAAGCCUGCUCCAGCCAUGCCGCGUGGGUGAAGAAGGCCUUCGGGUUGUAAAGCCCUUUUGUUGGGAAAGAAAAGCAGCAGGUUAAUACCCCGCUGUUCUGACGGUACCCAAAGAAUAAGCACCGGCUAACUUCGUG